rnacentral:rRNA from 1 species
CCCCUCAACACCCAUCAAAACCCACGGCUAUUGACCUCGGAUCAGGUAGGAGUACCCGCUGAACUUAA